rnacentral:rRNA from 1 species
CGGGGGGGGCAAGCGUUGUUCGGAAUUACUGGGCGUAAAGGGCUCGUAGGUGGCCAACUAAGUCAGACGUGAAAUCCCUCGGCUUAACCGGGGAACUGCGUCUGAUACUGGAUGGCUUGAGUUUAGGAGAGGGACGCGGAAUUCCAGGUGUAGCGGUGAAAUGCGUAGAUAUCUGGAGGAACACCGGUGGCGAAGGCGGCGUCCUGGACCAACACUGACACUGAUGAGCGAAAGCCAGGGGAGCAAACGGGAUUAGAUACCCCGGUAGUCCUGGCCCUAAACGAUGAAUGCUUGGUGUGGCGGGUAUCGAUCCCUGCCGUGCCGAAGCUAACGCAUUAAGCAUUCCGCCUGGGGAGUACGGUCGCAAGGCUG